rnacentral:rRNA from 1 species
GGUUCGAUGUUUGUUGUUUAUUGAAUCUGGCCUGCCCAAUGAUUUGUUUAAUGGCCGCGGUAAUUUGACCGUGCAAAGGUAGCAUAAUCAUUAGUCCUUUAAUUGGGGUCUGGAAUGAAUGGUUGAACGAGGAAGACGCUGUCUUAUAAGGUAGGUGUGUAUUGAAAUUUAUUUUUUAGUGAAAAGGCUGAAAUGUGCUUGAGGGACGAUAAGACCCUAUAGAUCUUUAUGUUGGGCUUGUUAAAGAAGGAAUUAAAGGCAGGCGAUGCAUUUCGUUGGGGUGACGUAGAGAGAUAAGAAUCCCUCUAAUUUAUGAGCAUGCUGAUGGGCAUAAGCAAUAGAUCCGCGAAUGGUGAGAGUUGGAUUAAGUUACCUUAGGGAUAACAGCGUAAUUUUAUUUGAGAGUUCAUAUCGACAAUAAAGGUUGCGACCUCGAUGUUGGAUUAAGGUUUAUUAGUGGUGUAGGAGCUACUGAAGGUGGGUCUGUUCGACCCUUAAAAUCUUACA